UACGGAGGAUCCAAGCGUUAUCCGGAUUCAUUGGGUUUAAAGGGUGCGUAGGCGGAAUGAUAAGUCAGUGGUGAAAUCCUUCAGCUUAACUGGAGAACUGCCAUUGAUACUGUCAAUCUUGAGUACAUUUGAUGUGGGCGGAAUGUGUCAUGUAGCGGUGAAAUGCUUAGAUAUGACACAGAACACCGAUUGCGAAGGCAGCUCACAAAACUGUAACUGACGCUGAGGCACGAAAGCUAGGGGAGCAAACAGG
rnacentral:rRNA from 1 species